rnacentral:misc_RNA from 1 species
GAUGAAGAACGCAGCGAAAUGCGAUAAGUAAUGUGAAUUGCAGAAUUCAGUGAAUCAUCGAAUCUUUGAACGCACAUUGCGCCCGCCAGCACUCUGGCGGGCAUGCCUGUUCGAGCGUCAUUUCAACCAUCAAGCCCCCAGGGGCUUGUGCUAGGGCCCUGCGGCUGCCCGCAGGCCCUGAAAACCAGUGGCGGGCUCGCUAGUCACACCGAGCGCAGUAGCACAUCUCGCUCAGGGCGUGCGGCGGGCUCCUGCCGUGAAACCCCCCACUGUAACCCCAAAGGUUGACCUCGGAUCAGGUAGGAAUACCCGCUGAACUUAAGCAUAUCAAUAAGCGGAGGA